rnacentral:lncRNA from 1 species
GAGACUGAAACAAUGGGUACUGGUGGUCGGACGAACGCAACCCCACAGAAGGUGGGUCCGGACCCUCUGAAAAGGGUCCCGCACACGAAGCCCCCGUUCUCCCUGAGCGAGAUCAAGAAGGCCAUCCCCCCGCACUGCUUCGACCGCUCGAUAGUCCGCUCCUUCUCCUACGUCCUCUACGACCUGGCCAUCAUCUUCGGGCUCUACUUCGUGGCCUCGACCAUCAUCCCCACCCUCCCGGCCCCGCUCCGCUACGUCGCCUGGCCCGCCUACUGGAUCGUCCAGGGAUGCGUCAUGACCGGCGUCUGGGUCCUGGCCCACGAGUGCGGGCACCACGCCUUCAGCGACUACCAGUGGCUCGACGACACCGUCGGCUUCGUCCUCCACUCGGCGCUCCUCGUGCCGUACUUCUCGUGGAAGUACUCGCACGCCCGGCACCACUCCAACACGGCCUCCCUGGAGCGGGACGAGGUCUUCGUGCCCAAGAAGAAGGACGGCAUCAGCUGGUACGCCAAGUACUUCAACAACCCCCCCGGCAGGAUCGUCCUCCUCCUGGUCACACUCACGCUCGGAUGGCCGCUCUACCUCGCCUUCAAUGUUUCCGGAAGGCCUUACGACCGAUUCGCCAACCACUUCGAUCCGCAAAGUCCGAUCUACUCUGAGCGCAAGCGAAACCAAAUCAUCAUGUCAGACUUGGGUAUCCUGGCCGUUUCUUACAUCAUUUACCGGUCGGUCAUGGCGUACGGGCUGGCCCAUGUGAUGUGUAUCUACGGGGUGCCACUCCUGAUCGUCAACGGGUUCUUGGUCUCCAUCACGUUCCUGCAGCACACGCACCCCUCGCUGCCCCACUACGACUCGUCCGAGUGGGACUGGUUCCGAGGUGCCCUCGCCACGGUCGACAGGGACUACGGCAUCCUCAACCACGUGUUCCAUCAUAUCACCGACACGCACGUAGCCCACCACCUCUUCUCCACGAUGCCUCAUUACCACGCCAUGGAAGCAACGCAGGCCAUCAAACCUCUCCUGGGAGAAUACUAUCAGUUCGACGGAACACCCAUCUACAAAGCCAUGUACAGGGAGACCAGAGAGUGCGUCUUCGUCGAGCGGGACGAGAAGGACCACACCAAAGGUGUCUUCUGGUACAGCAACAAGAUUUGAUGAUGAUUCCUCAAAGACGACCCCUCCACCACAACGAUUGUAUCGAUAGGUAGCCUUCGUUUCAGUCCUAGUGACUGGAUGUCAGUGGCGCGGCGUGCUUUGCCGAUAUAUCGAUUGAUCUGCCAUUUGAACCUAUGGGAAAAGAUCGAUAAACAAGGUUUACCUUAAUUUUCGAUCUUUGAUCAUAGCUUCGAAUGGGGAAAUAUCGAUAAUCGGUCUCGCGCUGCGCCACUGCUGGAUGUAACGAUCACCGGGCCCAGUUUUCGGAUCUUCUCGAGAUAAUUGUGUUUUAUCAGGGACUACUUACCGCGGGGAUGGAUUGAAAAAUAGUCAUGAGCG